rnacentral:rRNA from 1 species
AUUGAACGCUGGCGGAAUGCUUUACACAUGCAAGUCGAACGGCAGCACGGACUUCGGUCUGGUGGCGAGUGGCGAACGGGUGAGUAAUGUAUCGGAACGUGCCCAGUCGUGGGGGAUAACGUAGUGAAAAUUACGCUAAUACCGCAUACGAUCUAUGGAUGAAAGCGGGGAUCGCAAGACCUCGCGCGAUUGGAGCGGCCGAUAUCAGAUUAGGUAGUUGGUGGGGUAAAGGCCCACCAAGCCAACGAUCUGUAGCUGGUCUGAGAGGACGACCAGCCACACUGGAACUGAGACACGGUCCAGACUCCUACGGGAGGCAGCAGUGGGGAAUUUUGGACAAUGGGCGAAAGCCUGAUCCAGCCAUUCCGCGUGCAGGAUGAAGGCCCUCGGGUUGUAAACUGCUUUUGUACAGAACGAAAAGGUUUCUACUAAUACUAGGAGCUCAUGACGGUACUGUAAGAAUAAGCACCGGCUAACUACGCGCCAGCAGCCGCCGUAA